rnacentral:rRNA from 1 species
GAUGAACGCUGGCGGCGUGCCUAAUACAUGCAAGUCGAGCGAACGGACGAGAAGCUUGCUUCUCUGAUGUUAGCGGCGGACGGGUGAGUAACACGUGGAUAACCUACCUAUAAGACUGGGAUAACUUCGGGGAACCGGAGCUAAUACCGGAUAAUAUUUUGAACCGCAUGGUUCAAAAGUGAAAGACGGUCUUGCUGUCACUUAUAGAUGGAUCCGCGCUGCAUUAGCUAGUUGGUAAGGUAACGGCUUACCAAGGCAACGAUGCAUAGCCGACCUGAGAGGGUGAUCGGCCACACUGGAACUGAGACACGGUCCAGACUCCUACGGGAGGCAGCAGUAGGGAAUCUUCCGCAAUGGGCGAAAGCCUGACGGAGCAACGCCGCGUGAGUGAUGAAGGUCUUCGGAUCGUAAAACUCUGUUAUUAGGGAAGAACAUAUGUGUAAGUAACUGUGCACAUCUUGACGGUACCUAAUCAGAAAGCCACGGCUAACUACGUGCCAUCAGCCGCGGUAAUACGUAGGUGGCAAGCGUUAUCCGGAAUUAUUGGGCGUAAAGCGCGCGUAGGCGGUUUUUUAAGUCUGAUGUGAAAGCCCACGGCUCAACCGGUGGAGGGUCAUUGGAAACUGGAAAACUUGAGUGCAGAAGAGGAAAGUGGAAUUCCAUGUGUAGCGGUGAAAUGCGCAGAGAUAUGGAGGAACACCAGUGGCGAAGGCGACUUUCUGGUCUGUAACUGACGCUGAUGUGCGAAAGCGUGGGGAUCAAACAGGAUUAGAUACCCUGGUAGUCCACGCCGUAAACGAUGAGUGCUAAGUGUUAGGGGGUUUCCGCCCCUUAGUGCUGCAGCUAACGCAUUAAGCACUCCGCCUGGGGAGUACGACCGCAAGGUUGAAACUCAAAGGAAUUGACGGGGACCCGCACAAGCGGUGGAGCAUGUGGUUUAAUUCGAAGCAACGCGAAGAACCUUACCAAAUCUUGACAUCCUUUGACAACUCUAGAGAUAGAGCCUUCCCCUUCGGGGGACAAAGUGACAGGUGGUGCAUGGUUGUCGUCAGCUCGUGUCGUGAGAUGUUGGGUUAAGUCCCGCAACGAGCGCAACCCUUAAGCUUAGUUGCCAUCAUUAAGUUGGGCACUCUAAGUUGACUGCCGGUGACAAACCGGAGGAAGGUGGGGAUGACGUCAAAUCAUCAUGCCCCUUAUGAUUUGGGCUACACACGUGCUACAAUGGACAAUACAAAGGGCAGCGAAACCGCGAGGUCAAGCAAAUCCCAUAAAGUUGUUCUCAGUUCGGAUUGUAGUCUGCAACUCGACUACAUGAAGCUGGAAUCGCUAGUAAUCGUAGAUCAGCAUGCUACGGUGAAUACGUUCCCGGGUCU